AUUUAUAUAGUAUAAUAAUUACAAUUAAUUUCCAAUUAAUAAAUUUAUUUUUAUAAAUAAUAUAAAUA
rnacentral:tRNA from 1 species